rnacentral:rRNA from 1 species
UAUCGUUUAUUUGAUAGUACCUUACUACUUGGAUAACCGUGGUAAUUCUAGAGCUAAUACAUGCUGAAAAUCCCGACUUCGGAAGGGAUGUAUUUAUUAGAUUAAAAACCAAUGCCCUCUGGGCUCCUUGGUGAUUCAUAAUAACUUCUCGAAUCGCAUGGCCUUGCGCCGGCGAUGGUUCAUUCAAAUUUCUGCCCUAUCAACUUUCGACGGCUGGGUCUUGGCCAGCCAUGGUGACAACGGGUAACGGAGGGUUAGGGCUCGACCCCGGAGAAGGAGCCUGAGAAACGGCUACUACA